rnacentral:lncRNA from 1 species
UUGAAUCUGGCUUUCUGAUUCGAUAUAGAUGAACUAAGGACUUGUUUUUGGGAUUGGUUUAUCAGAUUUGGGGCUGAGAAAGUUUUAGUUGAGUGAAUGUGUAUGAAUGAGGCUUGAAUGCAAUUUUUCUCUGUCUUUGAUCUUAUAUAUGACUUGUAUAUAAUGUGUAUGGCUGAAGUAAUAGGCUGAGAUUGUUAAUUCAAGUCACAUGGCU